AGUCGACUAGAGUUUGAUCCUGGCUCAGAUUGAACGCUAGCGGGAUGCUUUACACAUGCAAGUCGAACGGCAGCACGGACUUCGGUCUGGUGGCGAGUGGCGAACGGGUGAGUAAUGUAUCGGAACGUGCCCAGUANCGGGGGAUAACUACGCGAAAGCGUGGCUAAUACCGCAUACGCCCUACGGGGAAAGGGGGGAUCGCAAGACCUCUCACUAUUGGAGCGGCCGAUAUCGGAUUAGCUAGUUGGUGGGGUAAAGGCCUACCAAGGCGACGAUCCGUAGCUGGUUUGAGAGGACGACCAGCCACACUGGGACUGAGACACGGCCCAGACUCCUACGGGAGGCAGCAGUGGGGAAUUUUGGACAAUGGGGGCAACCCUGAUCCAGCCAUCCCGCGUGUGCGAUGAAGGCCUUCGGGUUGUAAAGCACUUUUGGCAGGGAAGAAAAGGCGCCGGCUAACACCUGGCGCCGCUGACGGUACCUGCAGAAUAAGCACCGGCUAACUAC
rnacentral:rRNA from 1 species